UACGUAGGGUGCGAGCGUUAAUCGGAAUUACUGGGCGUAAAGCGUGCGCAGGCGGUUCGCUGUGUCCGAUGUGAAAGCCCCGGGCUUAACCUGGGAAUGGCAUUGGAAACUGGCGGGCUUGAGUGUGGCAGAGGGGGGUGGAAUUCCGCGUGUAGCAGUGAAAUGCGUAGAUAUGCGGAGGAACACCGAUGGCGAAGGCAGCCCCCUGGGCUGACACUGACGCUCAGGCACGAAAGCGUGGGGAGCAAACAGG
rnacentral:rRNA from 1 species